GGCUUUUUUCUUAUGAGUAACUUUUAAGGGCUCCACUAAAGCAUAAUUCGAUCCCUAAACGAGAAGUCAGAGGAAAUAAACAGGAAUUGAGUCUUUUUCCUUCACUGGAUGGAUGGUGUACUCUUCUAUUUCUUGUCCCGUGAACUCUACAUAUCUUUCAGGAUUCUGCCUACUUGUCCUCUCAACAUUCAUACGAGAUGAGGAUUUGAAGACAAGAAGGAUUCCAUCACACCAUGACAGAAAGGCUGGUUUAAUCUGUUGGACCAAAGGACCUGGCCCAGAGUCUACAUCACCUCUCUACUCUAGGCAUUUGUCAUGAGGCCAGGCUGCAUCUGUGCACUAUUAUACUCAAUAUUAAUCUACUGUCAAGCCCCUUGGACACAACAUGAGACUUGUGAAUUGUGACCAUCCUGAACACUCGUCUCUCCUGAUGUGCAUACAUAUGAUGACUCAUAUUAGCCCUUCCAUCUUUAUCCAAGGAAGAAUAGGAGCAUACUUGAAAACAAGAUUGAAGCUCAAGAUCAAGAUGAAGAACCUGAAAUAUUGAUGAAGCACUGGAGGAAAGCGAAAAGGAAAAGCGAGAUCCUCUUGAGACAGAGCUGUAAAUAGUAUGCAAAUUUGUCAGUGUCAAGACGUUGAGAUAAUUCUACGAGUUUGGUGUUACCCUGACAAUGAGAACCUUCUGGAGCAACAGGAAAAGCCUUGUAGACUGAAGGAGAAGUAUUCUUUUGUGGAAAGAAGAAGUAGUCAACGUUGAGUGGAAAGCAUCUAGGGCAUGCCUUAGUGAGGAGUUUGUUUCUAGAAUCUGAGGCAGCAUGGGAAAGUGAACAUCUUAGAAGUAGCAGGAAGAGAGGAUGGCAUGUGGGUAGAAAAGCUAGACAAAUUUUACAGACGAAGACAAGCACAACUUUAUUUUAAAAUGUGGCCCUCAAAAUUUUGAUAAGUACCCUUCACAGAUUAGUUUUAAUAAGAAAAUGAUUUCUUCUAUAGGGAAAGUAAAAUGAUAGAAAACAUUAAUUUAGAAAUUUUCUAAAUGCUGGAAACUAUUUCUUUUUUUCAAUUUUUUAUUAUAUAUUUUCUUUAUUUACAUUUCAAAUGCUACCCCGAAAGUCCCCCAUACCCUCCCCCUGCCCUGCUCCCCUACCCAUCCACUCCCACUUCUUGGCCCUGGCAUUCCCCUGUACUGGGGCAUAUAAAGUUUGCACGACCAAGCUAUUUCAAGUCCUUAGCAUGCAUCAUUUUACUUUACCUGUCCAAAGAGUAUAAUGCUGUAUAGAUGCUAUAAUUUAUAGCCUGGAAAACUGAUGUAUGGAGACUUCAGUUACAUUUUUUGCCCUUCCCAUUUCUAAGGCAGUUGUCUGAACCAAAGAUUUAAAAGAUUUAAGAAAAAAACAAAAGUACUUUGAGUUCUGAGCCUACAACUCUAACCACAUAUUGAGCAAAGUGUUAGAUUUUAAGUCAAAACAAAUAUUUCAGUUAUAGAGAAAAAACUCAGAGAAGAAAAUUGUAGCAAGAUGUGCCCUUUCAAAAUUAAAAUAUGGCUGAAGUGUUUAAAGAUUUUUUUCUCCCUUUGCUGUAAGGCUUUACUGACCACUGAUAAAUGUGCGGUGUCUCAGACACAGAUUGGAAGCAAUGAGGUGGAAGCUUUUACCUGUUGCUCUAUGAUUUUCUGCAGCUGUGGUUUUCCAUUGCUGGAGUUUAGGGCUAUCUUGUCUUUUAGCUUUUUGGUGCCAGAGCCCAUUGAAUAUUGAAUUUGUGAGAAUUUUUAUUUCAUGUAGACUUUACUAUGCUUGAAUCAUCUAAAAUCAUUACCAGUUGUGAGCCUUUCCUGGCACUAACAUCUUGCUCCUAAGAUAUUUUCUAUUUUCUUAUCUGAUUGCUUCAUUCUCCAGGGUCAUUUUUAUAUUAAGAAAGAAGUUACAGACCUAUCUUUUGAUACUUUUGUUCAUUGUUCAUUGGAGGAAACUUUCAGGAAUGUUUUUCAAAACUUUUUAAAUGGUAUAAAAAAUGUUGCAUAUAAAUGCAACAGACCAAUAAGGGAUCUGCGAAGAAAGGAUCUUCAGGAAACUUGGACAGAAAAGUGUUAAAGCCGUUUAAAAUGUAUCUUUGACUGUUGAGUGGCCCUGUAUCUGUCUAAUGUCUGAUACCGCUUCCUCACGAGCUUAUGCUCCUGUUUGGCAAUAGACAAAUACAAAAUAGUUGAGGUACAGAAUAAGGCAGACAGGGCCAUUGAACUUAGCAGCUAGCCAUCAGGCCUUUGACACUUGCAGUCUUCCCUUUUUAGCAUGGGGAAUAGCGAUCAUCACCCAUGGUGGUUGAGGGAUAACAUUUGAAAUGUAAAUAAAUAAAAUAUCUGAUAAAAAAGAAAGAUGAAAGAUUUCUAUAAAACUGUAAAGUAGCUGAAACAUUUUACAUAUUAAA